CAUUUUGUUACUAUUUUUGUGUCAUUUGCAUUGUUCUGUUUGUUCAAUAUUGUUAAAAAAUAAGUUUUUAUUGUAAAGUAUAAAUAUUAAGAAGUGAUAAAUAACGAUCGGAGAAAACUUUGACCGCGUCGUCUACUUGUCGACUAUUGAAUUUUACUUGGUGUUUUAUUGUUCAUUUGCCAUUUGCAAUGUUUACAAUGUUUAGGAUUUUCUAUUUUCUUAAUUGAAUUUUCAUUCGUAGUUCAGUGAAAAAACUUGUUGAAUAAAUGCAAUAAAUGUAAAUUCAUGUGUCCAGUACUGACGUAAAUAGAAUAAUUAGCAAAUUUCCAAUGCUGUAGAACGCAAAAAAUAUUUUUAAUUAUUAGUGUUUUUUGAGAUGAAAAUUUUUUAUUCGGAAAGUUUUGCAUAUUUCCUGACUAUUGAUUAUCUCCUUAUCUUGAAUCAAUUGGACAUCAAGGAAACAUUUCUGAGAGAAAAUAGAAGUAUAUUUGGGAAAAAUAUAUCUAGAAAUAGGAAUGUUUUCACAAUGCCGACAAUUCUGGUUUUAAUCCUGGCAAUAAUUAUAAAGCUAAUGUCUUGGAAUUUCAAUAAUUAUCGAAUUAAUGGACCAUAUAGGGAUGAGAAUAAUGUAUGCAUCUGCUGUAUAGUUGGUUGCAGUUAAGAGAAAGAGAAGAGAGUGGCGCAGACUACCAGAUGCAGUAAAUUUCCUUACUAGCACUAUGAAGACGAGUUUAAAAUUUUUCAAUGGUAGGAUUUAGCAGUGAAUUUUUGAAAAAUUAUCAUCUUGGACAAUGGAAUUGCGAAGUUGUGAAAUGUAAAAUUACGUGAAUUUUGAAUUAUUACAUUUUUCAUUGUAGAAAUAAAUGUCUAAUGGCUGGAAAAA